AGGAGAUGAAGGAGGUAGAGGAGAAGGAGGAGGUAGAGGAAGAGGCCCAGGUAGAGGAAGAGGAGAAGAAGGAGGUAGAGGAGAAGGAGGUAGAGGAAGAGGUAGAGAAGUACUUGAAGAGUUGACAGAACCUGAACAAAGAAGACGAGGACCAAAUUUGACUCAAGAAAUCUGUGCAACCCUUAUUGACCAUGUUAUCAACCAUGGACUGACACUGAUGGAAGCUGGACAAAGAGUUCAACCCAUUUCAGCAGAAAUACUGUUGCGUCAGUAAUUCGGACAUUUCAUUGAGAAAACAGGAUUGAAGGUCGAGGACACCAAGGUGGAAGGGGCCCUAUGUUCACUCGUGCACAAGAGGCCGCCAUUGUGAACAUGGUUUUGACCAAUAAUCGUAUCAGGCUGCGAGAAAUCCAAGCCAAUAUCAUCAAUGGUGACCGUAUUUUCAAUAACAUCCAACGAGUCUCUCUGUCAACAUUAGGUCGAAUCCUCAAGAAAAAUCAAAUAUACAUGAAGCAACUGUAUGUGGAGAGAGUCUUGCAAAUGGAUGCUGCAGAAAUUCAACAUGAAUUUAUAUGUGUGGAUGAGGCUGGAUUUAACCAGAAGAGGGAGAAAUGUAAUUGGACACAGGGUAAUCAGCAAUGUGCCAGGGCAGCGAGGGGGUAACAUCACCCUUUGCGCUGCUAUUACACAAAAUGGGGUCCUCCAUCACCAUGCAAAUCUGGGACCCUAUAAUGCAAAUCUAAUACUUGCAUUUCUUGACAGAUUGCACGAGAUUGUCACAGCAUUAAACCAAGUGGACCACAUGUAGUACAUUGUUGUUUGCGACAACGUCUCAUUCCAUCGGGCUGCUCUGGUCCAGAUUUGAAGUCUUAUACCUUCCCCCAUACUCCCCCUUCCUGAAUCCAAUAGAGUUUUUUUCAGCAUGGCGGUGGAAGGUAUACAACCUGCAGCCCUAUGACCAUUCAGGCCACGGAGCAGCCCUGUGAUCAUAUCGAAGCAGCUUCUGUGCAGGGGAGGAUUCGUCACACGAGGCGAUUCUUCCAACAGUGCCUUGCCAAUGAAGACAUAGCCUGUGAUGUGGAUGAAAUCUUAUGGCCUGAUCCAGCCAGACGGAGAGAUGAUGAAUAGUUACAGUAUUCUUGUUGCUUUUACAGUAGUUUUUCUUCAGAGUCAAAAUGUAUGUACUUCAUGCAGUAAUUUUUAUUUGUAUACAGAUUUUAUUUGUUUCAUUGAUUUCAUUGUUGGUUGAUUACUGUAACUGAUUAUGGUAAGAAAUACUGUAAGUAUUGAAAUAAAUACUUGAAAUAUUCA